rnacentral:rRNA from 1 species
UACGUAGGGUGCAAGCGUUAUCCGGAUUCACUGGGUUUAAAGGGUGCGUAGGCGGGCAGGUAAGUCAGUGGUGAAAUCUCCGAGCUUAACUCGGAAACUGCCGUUGAUACUAUUUGUCUUGAAUAUUGUGGAGGUAAGCGGAAUAUGUCAUGUAGCGGUGAAAUGCUUAGAUAUGACAUAGAACACCAAUUGCGAAGGCAGCUUACUACACAAUUAGUGACGCUGAGGCACGAAAGCGUGGGGAUCAAACAGG